rnacentral:rRNA from 1 species
AUUGAACGCUGGCGGCAGGCCUAACACAUGCAAGUCGAACGGUAGCACAGAGGAGCUUGCUCCUUGGGUGACGAGUGGCGGACGGGUGAGUAAUGUCUGGGAAACUGCCCGAUGGAGGGGGAUAACUACUGGAAACGGUAGCUAAUACCGCAUAACGUCGCAAGACCAAAGAGGGGGACCUUCGGGCCUCUUGCCAUCGGAUGUGCCCAGAUGGGAUUAGCUAGUAGGUGGGGUAACGGCUCACCUAGGCGACGAUCCCUAGCUGGUCUGAGAGGAUGACCAGCCACACUGGAACUGAGACACGGUCCAGACUCCUACGGGAGGCAGCAGUGGGGAAUAUUGCACAAUGGGCGCAAGCCUGAUGCAGCCAUGCCGCGUGUAUGAAGAAGGCCUUCGGGUUGUAAAGUACUUUCAGCGAGGAGGAAGGUGCUGUGGUUAAUAACCGCAGCAAUUGACGUUACUCGCAGAAGAAGCACCGGCUAACUCCGUGCCAGCAGCCGCGGUAAUACGGAGGGUGCAAGCGUUAAUCGGAAUUACUGGGCGUAAAGCGCACGCAGGCGGUCUGUCAAGUCGGAUGUGAAAUCCCCGGGCUCAACCUGGGAACUGCAUCCGAAACUGGCAGGCUAGAG